CGAACAUUAAACCUCUUGUGAAAUCAAACUGCGGAGAACGAAAUAUUUGAGUUUUUGACUGCUGGACGGAAUCUACUGGAUACGAAUAUUGUUGGAGAAGUGAACGACUACAUAACAUCGUUUGUGGAGCACAGACGAGGCUGAAACAGGCCCUCAGGAGCGGCGGAGCAUCGAGGACGACCACCUGCUGAAGGAAGUUGGCUGUGUUCAAAUGGCCCAACGGUGCAGCUACACCAGCGUCCAGAUCCCGGACCCUAACCGGCCCGGGAUCCUGCGGACCAUCCUCAGGCUCAGAGGACUGCCUGACUGCUCCUCUGGAUCUUCAGGUAAGUCUUUAAAGGUAAGUCCCCCAGAACCACCUCGGGGACCAGGUAAGUCUUUAAAGGUAAGUCCCCCAGAACCACCUCAGGGACCAGGUAAGUCUUUAAAGGUAAGUCCCCCAGAACCACCUCAGGGACCAGGUAAGUCUUUAAGGGUAAGUGUGCAUGAGCCAUUAUUGAAAAGGAGCUGUGCUAGAGUAGGGUGGGAACCAUCACAGGUAAGUCCCCCUGAGCCUCCUCAGGGACCCGGGGAACCAUCACAGGUAAGUCCUGGUGAGUAUCGGCCGUUAUGGGACCAGCCUGAGCCAGAUUGGGUGGUAGAUAUGAGGGGUUAUCUAGAGUGGAGAGACCAGUUUGACAGCUGGUGGUGCAAUAGACGCACUGAUGCUCCAGGGAAGAUUAGGAACCAUAAUCCAAAUAAGAAUGUUUAUUCAUUUGAAAAGAAUUUAUCUGAGUUUAAAAUUACUUACCUGGAGUAAAAUGAUUUACAUCUUAUUAAUUUAGAUUAAUAAAGUUUCAUCAUGCUGUAUUUUUUGUAUUAAGUUGUAUUUAGUUGUAUGUUUUUAUUUGAUAGUAUUUCAGUAUUAACACACCUUCAAUCCUGGAAGACAGCUCCAGAAACCUGCUCAACCUCCAGCUUGAUCCCGAUCCAGGCCUGACACCUCCAUCCUUUAGUCUUCAAGCAGUCUGCAGGCUUCCUGAACCGCCAUCUCUGGUCCGUGCCGUUGACCUGAAACUCACCUCCACUCGGCUUAACAUCUACAAUCCACCUCUUCCGCUCCUGGCCUGAGCCUUCACCCGACACCUCCAUCCUUCAGUCAUCAAGCAGUCUGCAGUCUUCCUGGACCGCCAUCUCUGGUCCGUGCCGUUGACCUGAAACCCACCGCCAAGAGAUCGUCCCUUCUACGACCGUCGGUCAACCUGCUGGACUUCGCCUCACCACAUUUCGGGCCCCCUGACACACCUCUCGUGGGUCUAGGAUUCUGUGAAGGGCCCACUCCUGGAACCAGAAAGUCGUGGACUACUGGCGUUUUUACGUUUUGUGGUUUUUGUUAUCUGACCUAACAAAAUAAACCUUUUUG